rnacentral:rRNA from 1 species
CUACGGGGCGCUGCAGUGGGGAAUAUUGGACAAUGGGCGCAAGCCUGAUCCAGCAAUGCCGCGUGAGUGAAGACGGCCUUAGGGUUAUAAAACUCUUUCGCUAGGGAAGAUAAUGACUGUACCUAGUAAAGAAGUCCCGGCUAACUCCGUGCCAGCAGCCGCGGUAAUACGGAGGGGACUAGCGUUGUUCGGAAUUACUGGGCGUAAAGAGUUUGUAGGCGGACUGACAAGUUAGAGGUGAAAUCCCAGGGCUCAACCCUGGAACUGCCUUUAAAACUGUCAGUCUAGAGACCGGAAGAGGUUAGGGGAAUACCUAGUGUAGAGGUGAAAUUCGUAGAUAUUAGGUGGAACACCAGUGGCGAAGGCGCCUAACUGGUCCGGUACUGACGCUGAGGAACGAAAGCGUGGGGAGCAAACAGGAUUAGAUACCCUAGUAGUC